rnacentral:rRNA from 1 species
CCUACGGGUGGCAGCAGUGAGGAAUAUUGGUCAAUGGACGAGAGUCUGAACCAGCCAAGUAGCGUGAAGGAUGACUGCCCUAUGGGUUGUAAACUUCUUUUAUAUGGGAAUAAAAUGUUCCACGUGUGGGAUUUUGUAUGUACAAUAUGAAUAAGGAUCGGCUAACUCCGUGCCAGCAGCCGCGGUAAUACGGAGGAUCCGAGCGUUAUCCGAAUUUAUUGGGUUUAAAGGGAGCGUAGGUGGAUUGUUAAGUCAGUUGUGAAAGUUUGCGGCUCAACCGUAAAAUUGCAGUUGAAACUGGCAGUCUUGAGUACAGUAGAGGUGGGCGGAAUUCGUGGUGUAGCGGUGAAAUGCUUAGAUAUCACGAAGAACUCCGAUUGCGAAGGCAGUUCACUGGACUGCAACUGACACUGAGGCUCGAAAGUGUGGGUAUCAAACAGGAUUAGAUACCCGUGUAGUC